rnacentral:rRNA from 1 species
CGAACGCUGGCGGCAGGCCUAAUACAUGCAAGUCGGACGGCUCUUCGGAGCAGUGGCGGACGGGUGAGUAACGCGUGGGAAUGUGCCCUUUGGUACGGAACAACACAGGGAAACUUGUGCUAAUACCGUAUGUGCCCUUCGGGGGAAAGAUUUAUCGCCAUUGGAGCAGCCCGCGUUGGAUUAGGUAGUUGGUGAGGUAAAGGCUCACCAAGCCUACGGUCCAUAGCUGGUCUGAGAGGAUGACCAGCCACACUGGGACUGAGACACGGCCCAGACUCCUACGGGAGGCAGCAGUAGGGAAUCUUGCGCAAUGGGCGAAAGCCUGACGCAGCCAUGCCGCGUGUAUGAUGAAGGUCUUAGGAUUGUAAAAUACUUUCACCGGGGAAGAUAAUGACGGUACCCGGAGAAGAAGCCCCGGCUAACUUCGUGCCAGCAGCCGCCGCCGUAA